CCACCUGCCUGGGCAGCCUAUGGCCUCGCCUCCAGCAUCCAGACGCUGAGUCCUCCAGGGAGGGGCUGGGCUGGGCCAGGUUGGGAGAGGGAAUCACCAGUCCACCUGUCAGGCCUAGCAGCUUUGGGCCAGCUUCCAACCAGCUGUCUUAAAUGGGGAAACAUGAAACUGGAGGAAUGCUUGUCGACAUGAGGUGGCCUAGGCUUAAGAUGAUCCUACAGAAGGUAGAGAAGUGAG